AAUAGAUUCGGAAUUCGACCAAUUCACUUUUCGAACCGCCUUCUGGAAUGGAUUGUGGUCGAAAACCGAGGUUUGACUGUACAACAAAAUUUCAUUUAGCAACACCUCCCGUUAAAACAGCUAAAUGAUUGUGGUAGAAAGUCAAGUGCAGA